UGAGGCAGGAGAAUUGCUUGAACCCAGGAGGUGGAGGUUGCAGCGAGCCGAGAUCGUGCCACUGCACUCCAGCCUGGGUGACAGAGCGAGACCCCAUCUC
ensembl:miRNA